rnacentral:rRNA from 1 species
AGUGAACGCUGGCGGUAGGCCUAACACAUGCAAGUCGAACGGCAGCACAGUAAGAGCUUGCUCUUACGGUUGGCGAGUGGCGGACGGGUGAGGAAUACAUCGGAAUCUACUUUUUCGUGGGGGAUAACGUAGGGAAACUUACGCUAAUACCGCAUACGACCUACGGGUGAAAGCAGGGGAUCUUCGGACCUUUCGCGAUUGAAUGAGCCGAUGUCGGAUUAGCUAGUUGGCGGGGUAAAGGCCCACCAAGGCGACGAUCCGUAGCUGGUCUGAGAGGAUGAUCAGCCACACUGGAACUGAGACACGGUCCAGACUCCUACGGGAGGCAGCAGUGGGGAAUAUUGGACAAUGGGCGCAAGCCUGACCCAGCCAUACCGCGUGGGUGAAGAAGGCCUUCGGGUUGUAAAGCCCUUUUGUUGGGAAAGAAAAGCAGCAGGUUAAUAUCCCGCUGUUCUGACGGUACCCAAAGAAUAAGCACCGGCUAACUUCGUG